rnacentral:rRNA from 1 species
CUGCAGCCCGAGUGGUGAUCGAUUUUAUUGAGCCUAAAGCGUCCGUAGCCGGACUAGUAAACCUUUGGGUAAAUUGGGCAGCUUAACUGUCCAAAUUCCGAGGGGACUGCUAGUCUUGGGACCGGGAGAGGUCAGAGGUACUCAAGGGGUAGGGGCUAAAUCCUGUAAUCCUUUGGGGACCACCAGUGGCGAAGGCGUCUGACUAGAACGGAUCCGACGGUAAGGGACGAAACCCUGGGGCGCGAACCGGAUUAGAGACCCGAGUAGUCC